rnacentral:rRNA from 1 species
UCCAGACUCCUACGGGAGGCAGCAGUGGGGAAUAUUGCACAAUGGGGGGAACCCUGAUGCAGCAAUGCCGCGUGGGUGAAGAAGCACUCCGGUGCGUAAAGCCCUGUCAGCAGGGAAGAAAAUGACAGUACCUGACCAAGAAGCCCCGGCUAACUACGUGCCAGCAGCCGCGGUAAUACGUAGGGGGCAAGCGUUAUCCGGAUUUACUGGGUGUAAAGGGAGCGUAGGCGGGAAAGCAAGUUGAAUGUUUAAGGUACGGGCUCAACCUGUACAAGCGUUCAAAACUGUUUUUCUUGAGUGGAGUAGAGGUAAGCGGAAUUCCUAGUGUAGCGGUGAAAUGCGUAAAUAUUAGGAGGAACACCAGUGGCGAAGGCGGCUUACUGGGCUUUAACUGACGCUGAGGCUCGAAAGCGUGGGUAGCAAACAGGAUUAGAUACCCGAGUAGC